ACAGAGGGUGCAAGCGUUAGUCGGAGUUACUGGGCGUAAAGCGUGCGUAGGUGGAUAUCCAAGUCGAUUGUGAAAGCCCCGGGCUCAACCUGGGAACUGCAGUCGAUACUGGGUAUCUCGAGUAAGGUAGAGGAAAGUGGAAUUCCCAGUGUAGCGGUGGAAUGCGUAGAUAUUGGGAAGAACACCAAUGGCGAAGGCAGCUUUCUGGACCUAUACUGACACUGAAGCACGAAAGCGUGGGGAGCAAACAGGAUUAGAUACCCUGGUAGUCCACGCCGUAAACGAUGAGAACUAGACGUUGCCUUGCUUUUAGCGGGGCAGUGUCGAAGCUAACGCGUUAAGUUCUCCGCCUGGGAAGUACGGUCGCAAGAUUA
rnacentral:rRNA from 1 species